CUUUGAUCAGCGUUUGCAUGCAAAUUGAAGCACGGCCACGUCGAUACAAGCUGGAGCUGUAGAUCAUCUUACAAUAUGUGUCUUUGCAUCACCUUCUGCCUCCCAACGCUCUUUCAUGACCGCCACAGUUCAAGAUGGAUUGAAGAAUCCACCCAGCAUCGUUCUCCAAAACUGGACGGGCGGGCGAAUUCCCUUUGGCUUCUGCUUCAUCAUCGUCGUCCUCCUCCUCCUUUUCCUCCUCUCCACAGCGAGUGCAGAAGUCUCACGGCGUGACGAGAAUAUCCUUACAGUAAAGCUCGGAUGUCAUGGUGUCGCAUAGAGGUGGGCAGAGAGGUCGUUGCCACGGCGACCAGCAAAUCGACUGAACCAAGAGACAUAUGACGUGCUUGAGCCCACUCUACUCUCACUGUGCGUCACUUUCAUAACAAGGUUUGUAAUGAUCUACAUGACAAUCUGUGCAGGGCCUCCCUCCAUAGUGAGGCUGAGGGCUGAAGGGGAGGGAGGAACGGUUGUGUGACAGCUCUGAAGGGGAGCAGUGCAUGCUGGGAUUGCGGCCCGCUGGGAGAGAGGCA